CUACGUGCCAGCAGCCGCGGUAAUACGGAGGGUGCGAGCGUUAAUCGGAAUAACUGGGCGUAAAGGGCACGCAGGCGGACUUUUAAGUGAGGUGUGAAAUCCCCGGGCUUAACCUGGGAAUUGCAUUUCAGACUGGGGGUCUAGAGUACUUUAGGGAGGGGUAGAAUUCCACGUGUAGCGGUGAAAUGCGUAGAGAUGUGGAGGAAUACCGAAGGCGAAGGCAGCCCCUUGGGAAUGUACUGACGCUCAUGUGCGAAAGCGUGGGGAGCAAACAGGAUUAGAUACCCUGGUAGUCCACGCUGUAAACGGUGUCGAUUUGGGGAUUGUGCUUUGAGCUUGGUGCCCGUAGCUAACGUGAUAAAUCGACCGCCUGGGGAGUACGGCCGCAAGGUUAAAACUCAAAUGAAUUGACGGGGGCCCGCACAAGCGGUGGAGCAUGUGGUUUAAUUCGAUGCAACGCGAAGAACCUUACCUACUCUUGACAUCC
rnacentral:rRNA from 1 species